AGAAAGAUCUCUCAAAUAUUACAUUAAAGUGAAACAUGAUACAUAUGGUACAUGUUUUCUUUUAUUGAUUACAUAUGCUUCUGUCACAAGUUGGAAACAUACAAGUAUUUUGGUUGUUGGGCGAGGUGCAAAUUUCAAAGUCUUUCUGGUUCAAGAAGGGGAUCUAGGAAAGUUAUUGCAGCAAUAAGGUUUUCCAACCUUGAGGACAAGGUUAUUUUUUAAGGGAUAAAUAAUGAUACGAUGAUGGAGUUAAUUUUAGACAAUUUAAAUAUUUAAUUUAGAAGUUGAAUUGAUCUUAAUUGGACUUUUAUUGUUUACUUGGGUUUUUUAUUUUUAGAUCUUUUACUAUAUUAUCCAUUACUAGCUCUAUAUAUGUACUCUCAUUGAGAUAUUUGAAAAUUAAUCAAAUCAAAUGAAUAUUUUAUUUUAU
rnacentral:lncRNA from 1 species